rnacentral:rRNA from 1 species
GAUGAACGCUGGCGGCGUGCUUAGCACAUGCAAGUCGAACGAUGAAGCCCAGCUUGCUGGGUGGAUUAGUGUCGAACGGGUGAGUAACACGUGAGUAACCUGCCCUUAACUCUGGGAUAAGCCUUGGAAACUGGGUCUAUUACCGGAUAGGAGCGUCCACCGCAUGGUGGGUGUUGGAAAGAUUUAUCGGUUUUGGAUGGACUCGCGGCCUAUCAGCUUGUUGGUGGGGUAAUGGCUCACCAAGGCGACGACGGGUAGCCGGCCUGAGAGGGUGACCGGCCACACUGGGACUGAGACACGGCCCAGACUCCUACGGGAGGCAGCAGUGGGGAAUAUUGCACAAUGGGCGCAAGCCUGAUGCAGCGACGCCGCGUGAGGGAUGACGGCCUUCGGGUUGUAAACCUCUUUCAGUAGGGAAGAAGCGAAAGUGACGGUACCUGGAGAAGAAGCACCGGCUAACUACGUG